rnacentral:lncRNA from 1 species
GAAGCAAAAGCAAGGUAUAUUAGCUAAACUCCUAUUGUAGAAUCGAUUUCCUUGAUAUCCUCGUAAGUUGCGAUUGUGGUUGGCUAAAUUUCUUAUUUCACAUGUUAUGAGUCCGUCCUAAUAAAAUUGAUUAUACUAAAAUAAGUCUUGUGUUGAAAGAUGUAUGCAUUAAAAAUGUGUUCCAAAUGUUCCUAUCAUAUCAUGAUUCCCUCCGAGAAUGUAAUCUAGUAUGAUCAAUGUACAAAAGGUAUUGUGAUUUAAAAUCUUAAUUAAAUUGCAAGUUAGUAUACCAAAUUGUGGAAGAGAAGCUCAAUAUCUUUAAGACCUUCAUUUUCUCAUAUGUGUACUUAAAAUAUUGAUUUGAAAUUCACUUAUUGAUGAUAAUCCAUGGUAACGCUUGAAUGUUAUAGAAGUGAGUAUGAAAUAUGAAAUACGGUCGACAUGCCGAGAACGAUAUUACAAUUGUGGCCACUAGUGCCAGUGACAUGGGAGUAUGUGUGAAAGAUUAUGAAGUGAGUUGUAAAUCCUUUAAAUAAUACAUGCUUUGGGAGUAUCGUUUAGUCAGCGAGGAAGGGUAGAUCAAUAUAACCUAACCCUGAAACUACACAUGCCAGUGUAGGAGUGAUUGAGGGGUAAAUUCCCGUGUUGAUUUGAUGAGAUUGUUUUCCCCUUAUAUAGGAUGAGAUUGAUGUGUUGAGAUAUUUCUCCUUAAAUGUUAUGAGAUUAUUGUUAGCGAUAUUUCAUAUGAUGUCGACCCAAACAGAAUUGUGGUAAGACGACUUAGCCGAUCGGGCGUAGAUCGGACGCCAUGUAGCACACAUGGUGGUGUUGUGAUUGGAGGUCUCGAGGUGAGAUAGCUCACCUGAUCGGGCUGAGAUUGGACUCCGUGCUAAAAGCACGGCGGCACUUUAAUACUGUUUAAGGCUCUCGUUGAUUUCAUGUUUCCUUCUCAUUUUACUAUUACUCGUUCUAUUGAGAGUGUGUUUAGUUUUACAUACUAGUACUAUUCCAUAUAUACUAACGUCCCCUUUGGUGGGGGCGCUGCAUCUUUAAUGGAUGCAGGUGGUUCCACAGCAUGCUGUAUUGAUCAGUGAUGGUAGUACACCCUCUCCUCAGCUGACUUGGUGAGUACCCCUUCAUUUCGGGGUCUUGUAUCUCCUGUCCUCUAUGUAUAUUGUUUUGAGGUAUAGCCGAAGCCUUGUUUCCUGUACUAUCACGCAACUCUUUUUGUAUCUAUUAGAGGCUCCGUAGACAUAGUGCGGGUUGUACCUUGGUUAUAGGGAAGUCAAACUAGUAAUGUUGUAAUUGUAUCACGCAUUCCACUCCUAAACUAUGAAUGUGUAAUGUAUUACUUUGGAGACUUAUAAAU